rnacentral:rRNA from 1 species
CAUUUAAAGAAAGCGUAAUAGCUCACUGGUCGAGUCGGCCUGCGCGGAAGAUGUAACGGGGCUAAACCAUGCACCGAAGCUGCGGCAGCGACACUCAGGUGUUGUUGGGUAGGGGAGCGUUCUGUAAGCCUGCGAAGGUGGCCUGUGAGGGUUGCUGGAGGUAUCAGAAGUGCGAAUGCUGACAUAAGUAACGAUAAAGCGGGUGAAAAGCCCGCUCGCCGGAA